rnacentral:piRNA from 1 species
UGAGUGCUUACUCUUGGGAGGUUAGGUU